GUGAAAGUUAAUUAGGUAGUGGGAAGUUAUGGAGAAAGCAGUCGCAAGCGAUGUAUGACAAUUGCCUAGAAGUACAGAAUGUGGGAAGCGUAGGUUUCAAGGUCUUCCAAGGUUUAUCAGGCGAAACUAUCAAACAGAAGUAUUGUGUCACAGAAAAGGUCUCAACCAAUCAACAACUCAAUAAAAUCAAGCUCUAACAGUUGCUCUAUCUUUAUUUUAUUUUUCAU
rnacentral:misc_RNA from 1 species